rnacentral:tRNA from 1 species
AGACCAAAUUUAAUUAGGCUUCUAACCUAAAAUUAAUGGAAACCCAUUUUGGUCUU